AGUUAAAUAGCUUAAACAAAGCAUAUAUUUUGAAAAUAUAAUAAAUAGGUUAAAUUCCUAUAUUAACUU
rnacentral:tRNA from 1 species